ACCUGGACGACGUGCUGCUGAGGAAGCUCCUGUUUAGCUGGAGGGAACGUCUGGGAGGUCUGGCUGCAGGGACUCUGAGUCUGACAGGGAGACGAGUCCUGGGAUGGCGGGAGUGACGAUCCAUUAACGUAGCUCCAGUUGUGGAUCAGAGAACCUCUUUUACUGAGCAUCAUGGCAGCGACGGUGGAUUUAGCAGCCACCUGUAAUAACAAACAACAAUAGAAAAUAGUCACAAAAUGCAAAUAAACGACCAGUAGCUUCACAGGCCUCUUUCUGUAGCUUCUUUCAAAAUGUGGUAUAUAAAUGUGGCUGUGGAUACUUGUUUGCGAUACACUGAUCAGACACAACACUAUGACCUCCUGCCUUGGAUCACAUGGGCCAGCCUUCGCUCCCCAGGUGCAUUACUGAGCCUUGGCUGCCCACGACCCUGUCACCGGUUCGCCACAUCUCGAGAACUGAGCUGCAGGUCUGGAGAUGCUCUGACCCAGUCGUCUUGUCAAACUCAUUCCUUACGCUGACAUCUUUGUGGUCUGGACCGACCCCAACAACCUGUUCUACUUGCAUUCAGCUCGCAGGUUGAACUCUCACCAAGCUCGAUGGACUUUGUUUCUGGGAGGUUAAACUUUGGACGGAUAGACAGUCGGAUGGAUGGUUGGAUACUUUAUUAAUCCAGAGGGAAAUUCAAGUACCUUUAACUGUAGCUCCAGUUCAUGGAACAUUCCGCCAGAUGACCUCUCGCUCAAGUAUGCAUGUCCUGAAGAGGAAGAAUCUUUGAGGUGAAAGUGACUAGGUGGGAGAUUAACCACCCUCGUCCUGCGAACAAGACCAUCUGUUUGUCCCUGAACCAGUCAGAUCCUCUGUGUUCCAAUGGGGCAUUCAUUUAAGACGCCACCCUGAGUUCCGUAGAACCCCUAGUUCACCAGUGCUCCACCAUUCCAUGUGCUCCACCUUCAGCUCAGCCAUAGUCUCUCAGGGCUGUACUCCAACCAUCUACCACCAAGCCUGCCAGCCAUCAACCUCCACCUCACCUUCUGAGACUUCUUGUUAAAAGAAUUCACACUUUUUAUCAUACUCAUCUUCAUGUUCUGCAUCCGGGACCAAACCAAAAGCUCACACUAACCAUCUAGCCAUGAUGUUCUAACACGUCUACUUUGAGGAUAAAAUGCUCACUUGCUGCCUAAUAUAUCCAACUAACUAACUAACAGGAGUCAUGAUGAAGAGACAAUCAGUGUUAUCACUUCACCUGUCAGUGGUCAGAAUGCUAUGCCUGAUCGGUGUAUUCAGGAGAAGUUUUACAGUCCAUGAAGCUAGCCUUAAAAAGUGUAGGGCGAGUAGCGGAGGGAUCCUGACUGAGGUCUGGGCAGAUACGCCAGCAAAUGUUUGGCAGUGAGCGUCUGUGUUGGAGGGAUGGAGUUCCUGCGAGGUUCGAUCCUGAGGGCGUUCCUGAUAUGAUUGUUGCUCUGAACGUUUUGAAGCGUCUCUCUGCUGAGCAUCACAGUGGAGAUCAUUGCUGGGAGUCUUCAGGAUCACUGCUCAGCCUUCUGUUCAGGCAAAGAAACAGCAUCAAUCACAAUACAAGGACAAAUGAAUGAGUCUUGGUGGUCAGUUUGUGUUGAUUUAGCAUCUGUUUGUGUUUGUUUUGCAUCUCUUUUAGUCAGUUUUAAUGUAUUUCUGCUCGGUGUGUUUUUGUAGUCAUUUUGCAUUACUUUUUAGUAGUAUAUGUAUCUUUUUAGCCCAUUCCAAAUCUCUUUGUGGUUGUUUUGCAUCUCUUUGCAGUCAUUUUAUAUCUGGUAGUGGUCUUUAAAGGUGGUUUAAUCUCUGUUAACUGUGAAUUAGCUUCCAUUUCUUUUCAUUUUGUAUCCCUUCCUGGUAAUUUUCCCUUCUUUGCUGAUGUUGUGCAUCUAUUUGGGUUCAUUUUCUGCCUUUUUCCCAUCAUCUUGUAUCUCUUGGCGGUUGGUCUGAGUCUCUGGGCUGGUUUUCCGUCUCUUUGCAACCAUUUUGCAUCUAGCAGUGUGUCUCCUUGCUGUCCUUUUGUGUGUCUUAGCAGUUGUUUUAACUCUGUUUGCAUUUAUUUGUCUUCAUUUUGCAUCUUUUUUGUCACUUCAGUCUCUCUCUGGUCACUUUGCAUCACUUUCUGGUCAUUUUGUGUGUCUUUACAGCCAUUUUGCAUUUAUUUGUCACCAUUUUGUGGCUCCUUAUUGUUGUUUUGAGUAAUUUUGCACAUCUUUAGCAUUGUUUUGUGUGUCUUUGUGGACAUUUUCCGUCUUUUUGUGGUCCUUUAAUGUCUCUUUGCUGUAGUUGUGCAUCUGUUGGUGUUAAUUUUACAUUUCUUUUUAGGCUGGUUGAGUCUCUGUGGUCGUUUUACUGUGAUAUGCAGUCAUUUGUCAUGUAGUAAUGUGUGUCUUUGCAAUUCAUUUGCAUGUUUAUUAUGUUUAUUUUACAUCAUUUUUAUGUAAGUUUCAUCCCUCUCUGGUCUGUCUGAAUCUGUUUGUAGUAAUUUUGAGUCUCUUUGUAGUUGUUUUGCAUCAUUUCUCUCUUUCUCAUUUUGAGCAUCUUUGUGGUCAUUUGCGUUUAUUUUGGGGUUUUUUGGCAUCUCUUUUUUAUCACCUCCAUCCCUCUGGUUAGCUUGCGUCUCUUUUCAGUGAAUCCCUUUCUGGUCUUUUUUGCAUCUUUGCAGUCAUUUUACAUUUAUUUGUGUUUAAAUUUCAUUUCUUUAUUAUUAGUUUGCAUCUACUGUUGUAGUUGUUUGAAUCUUUGUUGCCGUUUUGUGUGUAUUUGUAGUUGUUUAGAGGAAUUUUGCACAUCUUUGUGGUUGUUUAAAUGACUUUCCACCAAGAAACGGUGAUCCUCACUCCAGACAGAGUCUCUGGACCAGGACCUUCUGACUCCUCAGGCCCUGAUCCUGAUCCAGGUCCAUCCGGUUAUCCAUUCAUGGCUGAUAGAUCACCCAGAGCUGUGAUGAUAUUAUAAUGAUGUGCUAAAAGCAAAUGUCGCUUUACUCUGUUGUCGGCGUAACACAAGGUUUCAUCAAUCUGAAGUGGGCUGAUCAGUGUCUCAGUCACUGCUGCACUUUAUUGCACAUUAGGGAUUAUCGCUAAUCCUCCACAUUAAUCUGAGAAACACCAAGGAACACGAUGGAUUUGGAAAGAUUAGCGACUGUAUUUGCCUGAAGGCUUAGAGAAAGCAUUGUCCAGAUGUGACCAAAUGGACUGUGUGAAAUUCACUCGUCUCUUAAGAAAAUCUUCAAACUGUGCCAUGAUCACUGUGUCGCCACACUCACACAUGCAACAUGUGAACAUGUUUCUGAAUCCAGAACACACGUGUCACACGCCUGUGUGGUACAAAUACAACCAUGGAGCAGAGCCAAUCCGACGGAUGGGAAACCGACACACAAACAAAUGAAGAACUGUUCUUUUAGCUCAAGUUACUCAAUCAUGACCUGAAUAUGUUUUUGAGUAUUGCUGGAUUUUUUGAGUUACCAGUAAAUUAAUAAAUGGAUUUAUGUGUGAGUCUAA